rnacentral:misc_RNA from 1 species
UCUCCGUAGGUGAACCUGCGGAGGGAUCAUUACAGAGUUCAUGCCCUACCGGGUAGAUCUCCCACCCUAUGUUAUUAUUACUUUGUUGCUUUGGCGGGCCGUUAGGCUCCGGCCCGACUACCGGCCCCGGCUGGUAAGCGCCCGCCAGAGGACCCAAAACCCUUAAUAUUAGUGUCGUCUGAGUACUAUAUAUAGUUAAAACUUUCAACAACGGAUCUCUUGGUUCUUUCCUCGAUGAAGAACGCAGCAGAUCGGAAAAGCACACGUCUGCCCUC